GACGAACGCUGGCGGCGUGCUUAACACAUGCAAGUAGAACGGACAGGCCAUACUUUUGUGGGCUGCUCGAUUGGCGAAGGGGUGCGAAACACGUGGGAACCCUGCCCUAGCCUUUGGGAUAACUUGGGGUAACUGGGGCUAAUGACGGCUAGGACCUCCUGCUACUUGGUGUUGCAUGGUAAUUUGCGGCGGGUGGGGAUGGACUCGCGGCUUAUUGGCUUGUUGGUGGGGUAGUGUCUUACCAAGGCAUUGGCGGUCAGCCGGCCUGAGAGGGUGACCGGCCACAGUGUGACUGAGAUGCGAGCCAUACUCCUACGUGAGGCAUCAGUGGGAAUCUGUGCACAAUGGGCGGAAGCCGGAUGCAGCAACGCCGCGUGCGGGAUGACGGCCUUCGGGGUGGAAACCGCUUUCGCCUGUGACGAAGCGUGUGUGACGGUAAUGGGUAAAGAAGCACCGGCUAACUACGUG
rnacentral:rRNA from 1 species